rnacentral:rRNA from 1 species
GAAUUGCGAUAAGUAAUGUGAAUUGCAGAUUUCCAGUGAAUCAUCGAAUCUUUGAACGCACCUUGCGCUCCUUGGUAUUCCGAGGAGCAUGCCUGUUUGAGUGUCAUUGAAUUCUCAACCAUUCUCUUUAAGAGAGAGACAUGGCUUGGAGUUGGGAGUUGCUGGCAAGGAACUGUCAGCUCUCCUUAAAUAUAUUAGCAAUCGAGUUGACUAGUCUCUGACAUGCACGGCCUUUGACGUGAUAAUGAUCGUCAUGGCUGGAGUGUCUUUCCUGGACUAUGUACACAGAUGGCUUCUAAUUUACAUUUGGAAAGAAAGGGAAGAGUUUAGCUACUAGGCAGUCUAACUAUUUAGGCUGGCGAACACAAGCUCAAUCUUUCUUUCUCUAUCUUCAUUGACUUGACCUCAAAUCAGGUAGGACUACCCGCUGAACUUAA